UACGAAGGGGGCUAGCGUUGUUCGGAAUCACUGGGCGUAAAGCGCACGUAGGCGGAUCGUUAAGUCGGGGGUGAAAUCCCAGGGCUCAACCCUGGAACUGCCUUCGAUACUGGCGAUCUUCGAGUCCGGGAGAGGUGAGUGGAACUCCGAGUGUAGAGGUGAAAUUCGUAGAUAUUCGGAAGAACACCAGUGGCGAAGGCGGCUCACUGGCCCGGUACUGACGCUGAGGCGCGAAAGCGUGGGGAGCAAACAGG
rnacentral:rRNA from 1 species